CUCAGACAGCUAGGAUGUUGGCUUAGAAGCAGCCAUCAUUUAAAGAAAGCGUAAUAGCUCACUAGUCGAGUCGGCCUGCGCGGAAGAUGUAACGGGGCUCAAACCAGGCACCGAAGCCGCGGAUUCACACUUAUGUGUGAGUGGUAGGGGAGCGUUCUGUAAGUCUGCGAAGGUGUAUCGAGAGGUAUGCUGGAGAUAUCAGAAGUGCGAAUGCUGACGUAAGUAACGAUAAAGGGGGUGAAAAGCCUCCUCGCCGGAAGACCAAGGGUUCCUGUCCAACGUUAAUCGGGGCAGGGUGAGUCGACCCCUAAGG
rnacentral:rRNA from 1 species